rnacentral:rRNA from 1 species
UAGGGAAUCUUCGGCAAUGGGGGGAACCCUGACCGAGCAACGCCGCGUGAGUGAAGAAGGUUUUCGGAUCGUAAAGCUCUGUUGUUAAGGAAGAACGAGUGUGAGAAUGGAAAGUUCAUGCUGUGACGGUACUUAACCAGAAAGGGACGGCUAACUACGUGCCAGCAGCCGCGGUAAUACGUAGGUCCCGAGCGUUGUCCGGAUUUAUUGGGCGUAAAGCGAGCGCAGGCGGUUAGAAAAGUCUGAAGUGAAAGGCAGUGGCUCAACCAUUGUAGGCUUUGGAAACUGUUUAACUUGAGUGCAGAAGAGGAAAGUGGAAUUCCAUGUGUAGCGGUGAAAUGCGCAGAGAUAUGGGGGAACACCAGUGGCGAAGGCGACUUUCUGGUCUGUAACUGACGCUGAUGUGCGAAAGCGUGGGAAUCAAACAGG